CCUCCCUCCCUUGUUUCUUCGUCGGAGAUCCGAAUGCCUCCCUCCACAUCACUGGAAAAAAGGUCAGUAUGUCUCCCUCCCUCCUAUGCUUCUCCCUGUCUCUAGAGUUUCGACUUUCAACCAUUCUUCUCCUCUGCUCCUCCCUAAUCUCUCCUCCCUCCUCCCUUGUUUCUUCGUCGGAGAUCCGAAUGCCUCCCUCUACAUCACUGGAAACAAGGUCAGUAUGUCUCCCUCCCUCCUAUGCUUCUCCCUUCUGGUGAUGAAUCGAUAGAAAAAAUAGGCAAGUCCCAAUCGGGAUGGCUGUACCGACACAUGAUCUGGCCAGAAAGGUGGGACAGUCAGAACGGAGGCCAGAUGCACGUUUCAGGAUCUCGCACCCGUCCUAGGUGCCGGAAUCUCGGAGGAAUGGGGCGGGAUGGCCCCAUCCCACUAAGGCUUAAAUCAUUGAUGAAGAGACUAUAUUGUAAAAAAAGUACUAUAAGGAAAGCUACCUUCCAAAUGAAUAGAAUGAAGAUUAAGUCAUCAGAGAUAAAGUUUUUUUAUAGCGAUUAAUUUCAUGCUGAGAAAAUAUAGUAGUAGAACAAAGGAGAUGCCAUUUACUGAUGAGGUAAGAUCUUUGAUUUAGAUGGCGUGUCUAUGAUUUUUGAGAUGCAUUGACUCCUUAUACCCAAUAGGGAUCGCAAUUGAUUGGGUAUGGGUUGGAUAGGCCAAUAUCCGUAACUGUCCUGCAAUUGGAAACCCUAUAUCAGUACCCGCUUCAUACUCACCUCAGAGUGGGAUUGGUUGGGUA
rnacentral:lncRNA from 1 species